UUCUCAUUUUAUAUAUAUAAAUAUAGAUAUAGAUUUAUAAUUUUAUUAAAUUAUUCAUAAUGGCAUUUUUGUUAAUAUCUCUACAACUCUCCUUUUAUACAUAUGUAUAGAGGUAUAGAUUAGGGGAUCUCGAUCACUGUAACUACUUUCUCGAAUUUCACAAAACUCAAUUUUUUUUAUCUUUAUUCUAUACAUUGAGGAGGAUCCUAGCUCUGCUUGAUGCUACUCUAUUUGAAUUUCGGUGAGAUUGGACUCCGUUAUUUUGUUUAAAUUUAAUUGAACUGAAUUUUUGAAUCUUAGAGUUGAAUUCUGUUUAUCCCCAUAGUCGUCAAUUUGUCAAAUGCUUCGCCCUCAAAGAUUGGUGUUGUUUAGCAUAUGAAUCAGUUGCUAUAGAGUCCGUAUUUUCGCUAGCAGUCGAGUCAAGAAGUUCAAUUUGGUGUAUAUGGGGAAACCCUUAAUCUAUGAGAUUUGGGAAAAGCCAGCAACGAGUUGUAUAAUUGCGAUAUGCAGUUUAAUUUGGUUCUAUAUUCAGAAAAAGAGGAUUGGGUAUUCACAUGUGGGGUUGAACUACGACACAGCAUUGGAGGGCCAUCAUUGGCGGAUAAUCACAUCUGCAUUCUCUCAUAUUAGCAUCCUUCAUCUUGUUUUCAAUAUGAGUGCACUCUGGAGUCUUGGGGUUAUAGAGCAGUUAGGGCAUUUAGGGCUUGGUGUCGAAUACUAUCUUCAUUACACGAUGUUGCUGGUUGUGCUCUCGGGGCUGCUAGUUCUCGGUAUGUACCACAUUUUGAUCAAUAAGUUCAAGAUUGAUUACUUCCGUAGAGUGACUGCUGUUGGAUAUUCAUGUGUUGUUUUCGGGUGGAUGACUAUACUGUCAACAAAGCAGCCCUCUUCGAAGCUGGAGCUUUUCGGGUUCCUCUCCCUUCCUAUCAGUUUUGCACCUUUUGAGUCCCCCAUCUUCACGUCUAUAAUUGUGCCACAAGCAAGUUUUAUUGGUCAUUUAUCAGGGAUCAUCGUUGGGUACGCCAUUGCCUGGGGCGUGAUACAUGGGAUGACCAACUACUGGGCUGUAUCGAUGUUGGGAUGGAUUGUUGUUGUUUUCAUUUUUAGUUUGAAAAAGUCCGGUACGUACAAUUUCAGCUUUCUCAAGAUUGAAUCCAUGGAAGAUUCUUCCUUACCAUCUGUGCGGUUUCUUUCUUCUAGAAAUGGUAGAACCCUGCAGAUGAGUGCCUGUGAUGGUGUUUUGAAUCUUGUGUAGCUUCAUAAAGAAAUAGGUUCUGAAUGUGCAACUAUAAGGAUGUCACAGAAUAUUGGAUUAAGAAUAACCUUGCUUUGGCAUGCUGUUUUUUGAUGUUGUAUCGAAAAGCAGCACUUAUUUCUUGGAUCGUAGCCGUCAUAUUCAUGUAUCAAGGUUUUCUCUUGCUAUUAACAGAUAGAAUUUGAACUGAAUUAUAAUGUAUCAUAUUAGUGGUGACAAUUGGGAUGGGUAAAAAGAUAUUGAUCGACUUUUAUGCUGUACAAAUAUCAAGCACAUAUUUUGCAUAUGGAGUACCUAUAUUUUCUUUUAGAAUGGAUUGAGUAGUAACCCCCCUUAGAAAUGAGCUUCUAAAAUAUAGUGAAACAUGGUAAAAGAGAAUAUUCUGCUACGCCAGAAUCCGCCUUGUUUUAGGUGGUUUUUGCUCACUUUCUUAAAUCUACUAUAUUCACCAUAAGUUUAGUUAGUGUGUGGCUCUGCAGUGAACCUCUAUUGUUUGUGAUACCAUUUAACUCACUCAUUCUGGUUCAAAUGCAUGUGUAUUUCUUGCUUUGGUUUUGGACUUAUGGUUGUUCUCAGUCAAGAUUGCAUCAAGUUACCCGGAAAUGAUACUACAACAUUUUUUUUCUUGGCCAUGUCAGUUGUCUUGGACAUGUAUAUAUAGUUAUCCAUCUAAUUUUGAUCCACUUCCCAGUUAACAUAAAUUCCGUCCAGCAGUUUGAAAGAAAUGGCAACUACGGAUAGUAAUUUAAGCGUGUCUCCUCCCAGUUCUUACAGUGCAGUGGUUCUAGGUGGCACCUUUGACCGUUUGCAUGAUGGCCACCGUCAAUUUCUUAAGCCAUUGUGACAUGGCAGGCUGCGGCAACAGUAGCUAGAGAUCGAAUUGUGAUUGGUGUCUGCGAUGGCCAUAUGCUCGUUAAUAAGCAGUAUUCUAAUCUGAUCGAGCCUGUUGAAAAAAGAAUGAAAAAUGUUGAAGAUUA